rnacentral:rRNA from 1 species
UACGGAGGGUGCAAGCGUUGUUCGGAAUUACUGGGCGUAAAGGGCGUGUAGGUGGUAGUGUAUGUCAGAUGUGAAAGCCCUGGGCUCAACCCAGGAAGUGCAUUUGAAACUACCCUUCUUGAGUAUGGGAGAGGAGAGUGGAAUUCCCAGUGUAGAGGUGAAAUUCGUAGAUAUUGGGAGGAACACCCAUGGCGAAGGCGGCUCUCUGGACCAAUACUGACACUGAGACGCGGAAGCGUGGGGAGCAAACAGG